rnacentral:rRNA from 1 species
AGAGUUUGAUCAUGGCUCAGAUUGAACGCUGGCGGAAUGCUUUACACAUGCAAGUCGAACGAUGAACCUUAGCUUGCUAAGGGGAUUAGUGGCGAACGGGUGAGUAAUAUAUCGGAACGUGCCUUGUAAUGGGGGAUAACUAGUCGAAAGAUUAGCUAAUACCGCAUACGCCCUGAGGGGGAAAGUAGGGGAUCUUCGGACCUUACGUUAUAAGAGCGGCCGAUAUCUGAUUAGCUAGUUGGUGGGGUAAUGGCCUACCAAGGCGACGAUCAGUAGCUGGUCUGAGAGGACGACCAGCCACACUGGAACUGAGACACGGUCCAGACUCCUACGGGAGGCAGCAGUGGGGAAUUUUGGGCAAUGGGCGCAAGCCUGAUCCAGCCAUUCCGCGUGAGUGAAGAAGGCCUUCGGGUUGUAAAGCUCUUUCGCAAGGGAAGAAAACUUACAUUCUAAUAAAGUGUGAGGCUGACGGUACCUUGAUAAGAAGCACCGGCUAACUACGUGCCAGCAGCCGCGGUAAUACGUAGGGUGCGAGCGUUGAUCGGAAUUACUGGGCGUAAAGCGUGCGCAGGCGGUUUGGCAAGUCAGAUGUGAAAUCCCCGAGCUCAACUUGGGAACUGCGUUUGAAACUGCCAGACUAGAAUAUGUCAGAGGGGGGUAGAAUUCCACGUGUAGCAGUGAAAUGCGUAGAGAUGUGGAGGAAUACCAAUGGCGAAGGCAGCCCCCUGGGAUAAUAUUGACGCUCAUGCACGAAAGCGUGGGGAGCAAACAGGAUUAGAUACCCUGGUAGUCCACGCCCUAAACGAUGUCUACUAGUUGUUGGUGGAGUAAAAUCCAUGAGUAACGCAGCUAACGCGUGAAGUAGACCGCCUGGGGAGUACGGUCGCAAGAUUAAAACUCAAAGGAAUUGACGG